GACGAACGCUGGCGGCGUGCCUAACACAUGCAAGUCGAACGGAAACAGCUUAAAGCUUGCUUUGAACUGUUUUAGUGGCGGACGGGUGAGUAACGCGUGAGGAACCUGCCUUUCAGAGGGGGAUAACGUCUGGAAACGGACGCUAAUACCGCAUGACAUUUCGAGACCGCAUGGUUUUGAAACCAAAGGAGCAAUCCGCUGAAAGAUGGACUCGCGUCCGAUUAGCCAGUUGGUGGGGUAAAGGCCUACCAAAGCAACGAUCGGUAGCCGGACUGAGAGGUUGAACGGCCACAUUGGGACUGAGACACGGCCCAGACUCCUACGGGAGGCAGCAGUGGGGGAUAUUGCACAAUGGAGGAAACUCUGAUGCAGCAACGCCGCGUGAGGGAAGACGGUCUUCGGAUUGUAAACCUUUGUCCUCGGUGACGAUAAUGACGGUAGCCGAGGAGGAAGCUCCGGCUAACUACGUGCCAGCAGCCGCGGUAAUACGUAGGGAGCAAGCGUUGUCCGGAUUUACUGGGUGUAAAGGGUGCGUAGGCGGCUCUGCAAGUCAGGUGUGAAAACUAUCGGCUUAACUGAUAGACUGCAUUUGAAACUGUGGGGCUUGAGUGGAGUAGAGGCAGACGGAAUUCCCGGUGUAGCGGUGAAAUGCGUAGAGAUCGGGAGGAACACCAGUGGCGAAGGCGGUCUGCUGGGCUUUAACUGACGCUGAGGCACGAAAGCAUGGGUAGCAAACAGGAUUAGAUACCCUGGUAGUCCAUGCUGUAAACGAUGAUUACUAGGUGUGGGGGGUCUGACCCCCUCCGUGCCGGAGUUAACACAAUAAGUAAUCCACCUGGGAAGUACGACCGCAAGGUUGAAACUCAAAGGAAUUGACGGGGGCCCGCACAAGCAGUGGAGUAUGUGGUUUAAUUCGAAGCAACGCGAAGAACCUUACCAGGUCUUGACAUCUACCGAAUUCUUCAGAGAUGAGGGAGUGCCCUUCGGGGAACGGUAAGACAGGUGGUGCAUGGUUGUCGUCAGCUCGUGUCGUGAGAUGUUGGGUUAAGUCCCGCAACGAGCGCAACCCUUGUGAUUAGUUGCUACGCAAGAGCACUCUAAUCAGACUGCCGUUGACAAAACGGAGGAAGGUGGGGACGACGUCAAAUCAUCAUGCCCCUUAUGACCUGGGCUACACACGUACUACAAUGGCCGUUAACAGAGGGAAGCGAAACCGCGAGGCGGAGCAAACCCCCAAAAACGGUCUCAGUUCGGAUCGCAGGCUGCAACCCGCCUGCGUGAAGCUGGAAUUGCUAGUAAUCGCGGAUCAUCAUGCCGCGGUGAAUACGUUCCCGGGCCUUGUACACACCGCCCGUCACACCAUGGGAGCCGGUAAUACCCGAAGUCGGUGAGGUAACCUUUUGGAGCCAGCCGCCGAAGGUGGGAUAGAUGAUUGGGGUG
rnacentral:rRNA from 1 species